AGAGUGAACGCUGGCGGCAGGCCUAACACAUGCAAGUCGAACGGCAGCACAGGGGAGCUUGCUCCCUGGGUGGCGAGUGGCGGACGGGUGAGGACAACGUCGGAAUCUGCCUUUUUGUGGGGGAUAACGUAGGGAAACUUACGCUAAUACCGCAUACGACCCCAGGCCGGGAGGUUGGGGUGAAAGCGGAGGACCUUCGGGCUUCGCGCAGAGGGAUGAGCCGACGUCGGAUUAGCUAGUUGGUGGGGUAAAGGCCACCAAGGCGACGAUCCGUAGCUGGUCUGAGAGGAUGAUCAGCCACACUGGAACUGAGACACGGUCCAGACUCCUACGGGAGGCAGCAGUGGGGGAAUAUUGGACAAUGGGCGCAAGCCUGGAUCCAGCCAUGCGCGUGUGUGAAGAGGCCUGGUGUAAGCUACUUUGUUGGAAGAAAGCAUACGGUAAUACCGGUGUACUAGACGGUAACCAAAGAACUAAGCCGACCGGCUAACCUUGUCG
rnacentral:rRNA from 1 species